rnacentral:rRNA from 1 species
GACGAACGCUGGCGGCGUGCUUAACACAUGCAAGUCGAACGGAAAGGCCCUGCUUUUGUGGGGUGCUCGAGUGGCGAACGGGUGAGUAACACGUGAGUAACCUGCCCUUGUCUUUGGGGUAACUUCAGGAAACUGGGGCUAAUACCGGAUAGGAGCUCCUGCUGCAUGGUGGGGGUUGGAAAGUUUCGGCGGUUGGGGAUGGAUUCGCGGCUUAUCAGCUUGUUGGUGGGGUAGUGGCUUACCAAGGCUUUGACGGGUAGCCGGCCUGAGAGGGUGACCGGCCACAUGGGGACUGCGAUACGGAGCAGACUCCUACGGGAGGCAGCAGGCGAGAAUAUUGCGCAAUGGGGGGAAGCCUGAGGCAGAAACGCCGCGUGCGGGAUGACGGGCUUCGGGUUGUGAACAGCUUUCGACUGUGACGAAGCGUGAGUGACGGUAAUGGGUAAAGAAGCACCGGCUAACUACGUG